AGCUGUCCUUCAUGACAACAGAACCCACAACAACCAUGACUUUUAUCACCAUCUUCAUCUGGACACUUGCUUUCUGCUUUCAAGAAUCCAGAGGACAGAUCAAUGUGACUCAGACUCCUGCAGUGAAAACUGUUCUCCCAGAACAGACAGUCUCUCUGAACUGUAAAACGUGCAGUAAUGUUUACAAUGGACAGUCGUUGGCCUGGUACCAACAGAAACCUGGAGGAGCUCCUAAACUCCUAAUAUACUUGGCUAAAACCAUUCAGUCUGGGACUCCAUCUAGAUUCAGUGGCAGUGGAUCUGGGAGUGACUUCACUCUGACCAUCAGUGGAGUCCAGGCUGAAGAUGCAGGAGAUUACUACUGUCAGAGUUUACACUAUCCCAAUAGUGUCUGGGUGUUCACACAGUGAUACAGAGUCGUACAAAAACCUCCCUCAGUCAGACUCCACAGUGACUGUACUGCUACAGCUGGGACCUACUGCAGGUGCUGAGGGGGAAGAGACAGUGACAUGGAACACUAGAUGAGGUCAACUGUGACAUGUGACAAUAUGGUUAGAAAGCAAUCGUUCAGUUCACAUGACCAUCAUCAUCAUCAUUAACAUCAUCAUCAUGGUUUUAACUUGUUAUAUUUGUCAUGGCCUUUAAG